rnacentral:misc_RNA from 1 species
GUGAAGAACGUAGCGAAAUGCGAUAAGUAGUGUGAAUUGCAGAAUUCAGUGGAUCAUCGAAUCUUUGAACGCACAUUGCGCCCCUUGGUAUUCCAUGGGGCAUGCCUGUUCGAGCGUCAUUUGUACCUUCAAGCUUUGCUUGGUGUUGGGUGUUUGUCCUGAGGGACUCGCCUUAAAGUAAUUGGCAGCCAGUGUUUGGUUUUGAAGCGCAGCACAAGUCGCGAUUCAAGGCUAUACACCAGCUUCCACAAGCCUUUUUCACUUUUGACCUCGGAUCAGGUAGGGAUACCCGCUGAACUUAAGCAUAUCAAUAAGCGGAGGA